rnacentral:misc_RNA from 1 species
CCUCCCCUUUAAAUGUAACUUCAAAAAAGUACAACAGUCUAAUGACAACCCAUAUGAACAGAGACAAAUAUGACAACUGAAUCCAAAGUGCUGCACCCAAAAAUGAAAUAGGCCCCUCCCUGCCAAAGCAAUGCUUGACCCAAGCAAUAUCCUAGAACUCCGGAUGAUGAAGACAAGAAUGAACCACCAAAAGUAGAACUGCCCAUGCCUUGAAGUACACAAUACAGCGAGGAAGCAAGCAAGCACAACAAAUUAUUAGCUAGGCACAAUGAUAGCCUCCAAUUCCCGCAUCCACAAAUCAGUUCACAGUCGAAGUAAAUAAAGAACGUUAAAUACAACAGGUAAGUGGGACCUGUCAAAAAUAAAAUGACCAAGCUGACCACAAUCCCACCAUCUAGACUGGCAAUUCAUGCCAAAAUUACAAUGAAAGGGAGAUCAUGAAGUUGGCAAACUUGGGUAGCAUAAGUGCAAUUAGCGAAGUGGCUAAUGGAUUCACCAAGGAGCAAGCAUCAGAUGCACCCCCAAUAGGUCCACCUACAGGGGAUAAUCCAGGAACUAUACCCGUUGUCGGUACAGUUGUACUCCUGGGCGUUGUUGCACCAGACCCAUCUGACUGAGGUGCAGGUGCUGGAGCUGAACCAAACGCUGAAUCCCUAGUCACUGAAGUAGGAGGGGCUAGCAGGGGAGGAAAUUGCUGUGGCCCUGGACAGCGAGGUUGAAGAGAUGUGGACAACAAGGUCAUGAUGCUGCCGUUGACAUAUCCACCAUAACUGCAAGAAGCAACACUACAACCAGCACUACUCUGCUUCCACGUGACAUUCCCGAGCAUGAGAUUGCUAUUUUUACACUGCAUGCUUGAACAAGAAACCGCCAAGGAAGCAGGCAUGCAGUACAAAUUAAGAUUUCCUGGCCCGCAGCUGCAUUGCACACAGUGACUAGCAGUAAUAGCAUAGCUCCCAUUUGGCACAAUGAGGCCAUAAUCAAAGGCGUAUCUUGGAAACUUAGAAGCACAGGCUGGCAAGGCCACAGCAAGUAUAUCACCAGCCUUGAUGGCUGGAUUACCCAUAGCAUUAACAUUCAUCAAAUCAGUAAUAGUAGUGGAAUAUCUCGAAGCAAUCCCCGCCAAAGUAUCCACCUCCUUCACCACGUAAGACAGAUAAAUUGCCGGCAACGAAUUAUCCGUCCCAUUAAAACAUGUACAGGGCAAUGGCACGACAAGGCUCUGCCCCACAUCCAGUACUGAGGGAUCCUGUAUCGAAUUAGCUUCCUUUAUCUGGUCCGCGGACACCAAACCCGAAUAAAUCGAAUCCGCAAUAGAAGACAAAGUAUCCGAAGGCCGAGUCUUGUACCGCGUAGAAACGGAUUUGCGUAUUCCAUCCACGCAGGAGCAUACUAUUGGGAUCUUGAGGAAAAGCUGGGAAGGAAGGAUGUGGUUUUCGAUAUCUGGGUAAGAGAUGUCGAUGGAAUUAGCUGUGAGGAGAGCUAUGGGAUCAAUUUGGAAGAGGGAGGCUACUUCUGAGACUUUGAGGUCUGUGUAGAGAGUAUAGCCAAGAAGAGCAUUACAGGAGUCGUUGUUGGAGCAUGGUUCGAUUGUGGAUUUGGAGGUAACAAUAGCUACUACAUUGACGAAAAUCAAAAGAAGGACGAUGGGUUUUGGGUUUUGCAUCUUUAAGAGGUCCGAGGGGAAGAUGUGAGAGUUUCAGGGUUUUAGGAAAGCUAAACACUUUUUUAGCUUUGGAUUGGUAACGGUAGAGAAUGUGAUCAGUUUCGAAGGUUUUUAGGGUUCGUAUUGCUUCAACUCGCCAAACCCAGAAUGAAUAUGCAACAAAACGAAGAGUGACUGACAGCAGGAUGAGUUUAGUACCAAAGAGAACGGGUUUGAUUUGAUUUUUACGGAUUUCACAGUUCGUGCUUCUUGUUCUUCCGCUUAUAAUGCCCUCCAGCCAGUGAGAGAAGUGGAGAAGAAAAGAAAGCGUUUUUGACAGAGUAGAGCUAAGG